AGCAUUUGCCUUGCAGGCUUUGAUGGAGAUUCCAGAUCAGUAUAAGGCAAUCAAAGAUAGAGGCAUGCUCAACUUCUAAUUUAGAGAGAAAGAAUGAAUAGAGAGAUAAACGAGAAGAAGAAAUGAGAUGUGAUAAGUGUAAAACAAUCAAAGACACAGGUGUUCUCAACUUCUAUUUUAGAGAGAGAGAGAGAGAGAGAGAGAGAGAGAGAGAGAGAGUAUUUUGAAACUUGUAAAUGAAGAGAGAUUUAUUUUAAUGCUGGUAUUUAAAGGUUAUUGAGAAUCUUUGUCUGUCCAUGUAUACAAUGUACAUAAUUUUAUAUUUGUUUACUUUUGUAUGUCUGAUAUGCUUUGAAUUAUGUUUAUUUUAGAAAAGCUAAUACAUGUUUUGUUCUUUAAUUGUUUUACUACGUGUAUGUACAUGAACAAGUACUGUUGACGGGUCAUAGUAAUGAGAAACAUUUUUCGUAAGGUUUAUGUUAAUUUUGUCUGUUAUCCAUAUUAUUCAUUACCGGGUAAUCAUGCUUGUCAGAUAUAAUAAAAAGUUAUUAAAAAUGUU
rnacentral:misc_RNA from 1 species